rnacentral:rRNA from 1 species
UCUUGGUCAUUUAGAGGAAGUAAAAGUCGUAACAAGGUUUCCGUAGGUGAACCUGCGGAAGGAUCAUUAUGAAUUAUAAAUAUUUGUGAAUUUACCACAGCAAACAAAAAUCAUACAAUCAAAACAAAAAUAAUUAAAACUUUUAACAAUGGAUCUCUUGGUUCUCGUAUCGAUGAAGAACGCAGCGAAACGCGAUAUUUCUUGUGAAUUGCAGAAGUGAAUCAUCAGUUUUUGAACGCACAUUGCACUUUGGGGUAUCCCCCAAAGUAUACUUGUUUGAGCGUUGUUUCUCUCUUGGAAUUGCUUUGCUCUUCUAAAAUUUCGAAUCAAAUUCGUUUGAAAAACAACACUAUUCAACCUCAGAUCAAGUAGGAUUACCCGCUGAACUUAAGCAUAUCAAUAAGCGGAGGAAAAGAAACCAACAGGGAUUGCCUUAGUAACGGGGAGUGAAGCGGGAAAAGCUCAAAUUUGAAAUCGGGCACCAGGUCGAGUUGUAAUUUGUAGAUUGUAUCUUGAGAGCGGAUUAAAGUCUGUUGGAACACAGCGCCUUAGAGGGUGACAGCCCCGUAAAAUCUAUUCUCAUUGUAAGAUACUUUCGAAGAGUCGAGUUGUUUGGGAAUGCAGCUCUAAGUGGGAGGUAAAUUCCUUCUAAAGCUAAAUAUUGACGAGAGACCGAUAGC